rnacentral:rRNA from 1 species
AUUGAACGCUAGCGGGAUGCCUUACACAUGCAAGUCGAACGGAGUGGCGAACGGGUGAGUAAUGUAUCGGAACGUGCCCAGUAGCGGGGGAUAACUACGCGAAAGCGUAGCUAAUACCGCAUACUAUUGGAGCGGCCGAUCUCGGUUUAGCUAGUUGGUGGGGUAACGGCUAACAAAGGCCACGAUCCGUAGCUGGUUUGAGAGGACGACCAGCCACACUGGGACUGAGAAACGGCCCAGACUCCUACGGGAGGCAGCAGUGGGGAAUUUUGGACAAUGGGGGAAAACCUGAUCCAGCCAUCCCGCGUGUGAGAGGAAGGCGUUCGGGUUGUAAAGCACUUUUGGCAGGAAAGCGGUACCUGCAGAAUAAGCACCGGCUAACUACGUGCCAGCAGCCGCGGUAAUUC